rnacentral:lncRNA from 1 species
AAGUUGAUAGAUGAGAUAUACGGUCAAGGAACGAUAGCUAUGUGUAGAGUCUGAACUACUCAUGGGAGAAAAAAAUGACUAUGAUGAAUAGUAGGAUUAUUUUUUUAGUUUUUUGCGUUCAAUUUUUUUCUAGGACAUUAUGAGGCUCUUACAACUCUGCACCACCUGAACGUAUAUAUACACUGUUCCUGAAUUUUGUUCAUAAACAGCUUAACACAAUUGUAAAUCUAUUGACG